rnacentral:rRNA from 1 species
UAAUCACGGUCGGACAUCGUGAGGUUAGUGCAAUGGCAUAAGCUAGCUUGACUGCGAGAGUGACGGCUCGAGCAGGUACGAAAGUAGGUCAUAGUGAUCCGGUGGUUCUGAAUGGAAGGGCCAUCGCUCAACGGAUAAAAGGUACUCCGGGGAUAACAGGCUGAUACCGCCCAAGAGUUCAUAUCGACGGCGGUGUUUGGCACCUCGAUGUCGGCUCAUCACAUCCUGGGGCUGAAGUAGGUCCCAAGGGUAUGGCUGUUCGCCAUUUAAAGUGGUACGCGAGCUGGGUUUAGAACGUCGUGAGACAGUUCGGUCCCUAUCUGCCGUGGGCGUUGGAAGAUUGAGAGGGGCUGCUCCUAGUACGAGAGGACCGGAGUGGACGCAUCACUGGUGUUCGGGUUGUCAUGCCAAUGGCAUUGCCCGGUAGCUAAAUGCGGAAAAGAUAAGCGCUGAAAGCAUCUAAGCGCGAAACUUGCCUCGAGAUGAGUCUUCCCUGAGACCUUGAGUCUCCUAAAGGAACGUUUAAGACUAAGACGUUGAUAGGCUGGGUGUGUAAGCGUAGCGAUACGUUGAGCUAACCAGUACUAAUGAUCCGUGAGGCUUAACCUUACAACACCGAAGGUGUUU